CUGGCAAACAGGAAAUGAGACAAAGGCGACUGCUUAUCGGCCCCGCAUUCCAGUCAGGUGAUGGCCAGGAGGACUCCGGCUGGCCCCAAGAAGCUGCCGGCCAAAGAGAGGACCCCCCAGGCUGGCCUCCCCUCAGGACUCUCCCAUGGAGGCGAGGAGGAUUCUUGCGGGUACCCGUGUGGAUACCAGGACCCACUAAUGAACCGGCUCUGAUCCCUGUACUCAGGGAACUUCCAGCAUAACCAGAGGAGGGAGGAAGACACCCAGAUAAGUGAAAUCUUAGGUGAAAGGGCAGGAUGCAGGUACUGUCUGAAUGGAGGAACCCUGGAGUUGACUUUCAAAUAGGAGUGGGACGGAAUGGAAGUUAUCUAUCUGAACUGGGGGAACAGCAUGUGCAAAUGCCCGAUGGUCUGCCUGUAAACUGGACAUUUGAAAAGCAAUGAAGAUUCUGGAGUUGCCUGGGCAGAAGAUGAAGAAGCUGGUGAAGAUGCUGGUUAGGCAGGUCCUGAUGACCUUGAAUGCCAAGCUGAAGCCUAGGCUUAUUUUGCUGGUACUGGGAGACUGGGGAGGUAGGGUAGGGAGA